AGAGCUUUGGCAUGGGCCUCGUUGCUAGGGAAACCAUUUCUUUGUCUCGACAUGUUCAGAGUGGCUGCCUCAUUAGACACUGAACCUGAUCAUCACUUUACACUAUGGGAAAAAAAGAAAAAAAAAUAGAGAAGAGGAAAAGCUAACAGGUUACAGCUGGAAGAGAAGAGGAAAGAAAUGGCAAUGUAAUCAUCAAUCUACUACAUGGCAAGAACACAUUCUUGCUUUCCUCAGAAACUAGGGUUUUUCAGUUCCAUGGCUAAAUGCUUUCAAGAUUUAAUGAAAGAUGAGUUGCUACCAAGAUAAAUAAUUUUUCCAAAUGGG